rnacentral:lncRNA from 1 species
CUUCAUUAGUCACAAAAACAUCUACAAAAUGUGCUCAUAUAACUCCUAAACAUGCUAUCUAAUAUUGAAACUAAACAUCUAACUCCAAACACUAGCACGACUUUAUAAUAUGCAAGUAACAGCUCAUUUAACACCUAUCAUUACAGGUCUACUACAUGAUAUGAAACAAUAAGAAAAAUAGAGAAAACCUAAGUCAACACAGCUUGUAUUCCAUCAGACUUCUAGUUGAAUUACAUAAUCAACAUUCAAUCAAUGUUCAUAGGCUAGGGGAUACCUGGAAAUGAAAGGAAACAAGAGGUGAGGGAUCAGCAAUAGCAGUAGCAGAAGUUAGCCCAAAUGCAGUCAAUGAAACAGUGAAACCAAUAGAACAGUAGAAAAACUUUCAAACCAAACUCUUCCCAAGCCCAAGUUCAAUCCAUUUUCACCCAGAUGGCUCGGAAAUUGUUUCAGAAAAGGAAGACUUCAGAAAUCACAGACCAAAACUCAAUGGAACUGUAAUUUUUAUAAAAUUUUAACCUGUUUUCUAUUUUGCAAAAUUUUUCUCCUCCAAGUCUGCCCUAAAAUCUCAAGUAACAACGCAUUUAUAGGAAAACCAUUAGGGCAAACUUAUGGGCUCAGUUUUUGCUUUUUUUCUCCUUUCCCAAUUUUAGUUUUUGCUACUUAAUCCGUGAAAUAUUGACUUGCUU